UGUGCAUGCAGUACUUGUAUUCUUGACUCCUUAGUGUAUCCUUUUCCCCUUCCUCCAAAGGAUCACUCCGAUAAACGCGCUCAUAACAAACUGGUGACAAGCAUUCCAGAGCACAAUUCUCCUUGUCUACUGUUGUAGCCUUGCACUUCUGACCCCACAACCCACUUUCAAUAUCUGCAUAGCAUUGGAGUUUCUUCUCUCUGAUCUCUCCAUCAGAGAUUGGGCGACGUUUAGC
rnacentral:lncRNA from 1 species